CCUACGGGCGGCAGCAGUGGGGAAUAUUGCACAAUGGGCGCAAGCCUGAUGCAGCCAUGCCGCGUGUGUGAAGAAGGCCUUCGGGUUGUAAAGCACUUUCAGCGGGGAGGAAGGCGGUGAAGUUAAUAACCUCAUCGAUUGACGUUACCCGCAGAAGAAGCACCGGCUAACUCCGUGCCAGCAGCCGCGGUAAUACGGAGGGUGCAAGCGUUAAUCGGAAUUACUGGGCGUAAAGCGCACGCAGGCGGUCUGUCAAGUCGGAUGUGAAAUCCCCGGGCUCAACCUGGGAACUGCAUUCGAAACUGGCAGGCUAGAGUCUUGUAGAGGGGGGUAGAAUUCCAGGUGUAGCGGUGAAAUGCGUAGAGAUCUGGAGGAAUACCGGUGGCGAAGGCGGCCCCCUGGACAAAGACUGACGCUCAGGUGCGAAAGCGUGGGGAGCAAACAGGAUUAGAUACCCGAGUAGUC
rnacentral:rRNA from 1 species